GAUGAACGCUGGCGGCGUGCCUAAUACAUGCAAGUCGAGCGAACGGACGAGAAGCUUGCUUCUCUGAUGUUAGCGGCGGACGGGUGAGUAACACGUGGAUAACCUACCUAUAAGACUGGGAUAACUUCGGGAAACCGGAGCUAAUACCGGAUAAUAUUUUGAACCGCAUGGUUCAAAAGUGAAAGACGGUCUUGCUGUCACUUAUAGAUGGAUCCGCGCUGCAUUAGCUAGUUGGCAAGGUAACGGCUUACCAAGGCAACGAUGCAUAGCCGACCUGAGAGGGUGAUCGGCCACACUGGAACUGAGACACGGUCCAGACUCCUACGGGAGGCAGCAGUAGGGAAUCUUCCGCAAUGGGCGAAAGCCUGACGGAGCAACGCCGCGUGAGUGAUGAAGGUCUUCGGAUCGUAAAACUCUGUUAUUAGGGAAGAACAUAUGUGUAAGUAACUGUGCACAUCUUGACGUUACCUAAUCAGAAAGCCACGGCUAACUACGUG
rnacentral:rRNA from 1 species